ACCUCAAAACAUUACUUAGCUCCUAAUAACUUUGCUAGCCCCCUUUUUCUUUCUUUUUCUUUUCUUUUUAUAUUUUAUUUCUCUUCUUUUUUCUUUUUAGAUGCGGGCCAAGACUUUUCAUAACUUGAGCUAGAGGUUUUUUUUUACUUAUCCCAAUAAGACAAUUCACUUAAACACAAAGAGUCAUUUCUUUUCCUUUUUCAUUGCUCCCUAAUCAUAAUCACAACUCUCACUCCCCACCUAUAGCUACACAAUAGAGUGCCCAAUCUAGCAAGAAUGAAGAUCAAGCAUUGUCGUUC
rnacentral:lncRNA from 1 species